rnacentral:rRNA from 1 species
UACGGAGGAUGCAAGCGUUAUCCGGAAUGAUUGGGCGUAAAGCGUCCGCAGGUGGCAAUGUAAGUCUGCUGUUAAAGAGUCAUGCUUAACAUGAUAAAAGCAGUGGAAACUACAUAGCUAGAGUACGUUCGGGGCAGAGGGAAUUCCUGGUGUAGCGGUGAAAUGCGUAGAUAUCAGGAAGAACACCGGUGGCGAAAGCGCUCUGCUAGGCCGUAACUGACACUGAGGGACGAAAGCUAGGGGAGCGAAUGGG